GUGUGUGUGUGUGUGUGUGUUGGUGUGUGUGUGGGUGUGAGUGUAGGUGUAGGUGAUAUGAUGCUAUCCUUUAGGCCAUGCCACGCUGGCUUUCCUUUGAUAUGCGAGCCUCCUGAUCCUCCUCUCCCUCGUCCUCCUUCAGUUUCUCGUGCUCCUUAUGUUG